rnacentral:rRNA from 1 species
UAGCGAAAUUCCUUGUCGGGUAAGUUCCGACCUGCACGAAAGGUGUAACGAUUUGGGCACUGUCUCAACCAGAGACUCGGUGAAAUUAUAGUACCUGUGAAGAUGCAGGUUACCCGCGACAGGACGGAAAGACCCCGUGGAGCUUUACUGUAGCCUGAUAUUGAAUUUUGGUACAGUUUGUACAGGAUAGGCGGGAGCCUUUGAAACCGGAGCGCUAGCUUCGGUGGAGGCGCUGGUGGGAUACCGCCCUGACUGUAUUGAAAUUCUAACCU